UAGUUCAGUCAGAGAUGUAACUACACAACUAGUUCAGUCAGAGAUGUAACACCACAACUAGUUCAGUCAGAGCUGUAACUACCACAACUAGUUCAGUCAGUCAGAGAGUAACUACCACAACUAGUUCAGUCAGAGAUGUAACUACCACAACUAGUUCAGUCAGAGCUGUAGCUACCACAACUAGUUAAGUCAGUCAGAGAUGUAACUACCACAACUAGUUAAGUCAGUCAGAGAUGUAACUACCCACAACUAGUUAAGUCAGUCAGAGCUCAAUACUUAUUGUUGCCACUAUGUUCAUGAAAAUGCUAUAUUCAGUCUCAAUGCAGAAGCAUGGACCAUGCCAUUAUGUUGUAGCUUGAAGUACAUUAUAGAUAGGCAAUCCAUGCAAAAUGAAAGAAGGCUAUGUAUGUUUUAGGCCAAAAUGCAUAUUUGACAAUCAUUUUAGUUAACCUCAUCUCAUAUUUAAAAGCAGAGAGAGAUGAUCAGAGAUGAAGAGAAUAUAGUACCAGGGGAGCUUCUUAAGAGUAGGUUUCCUAUUUCAGACAGGAGGUGUGUGUGUGUGUU